rnacentral:rRNA from 1 species
AUACGUAGGGGGCGAGCGUUGUCCGGAAUGAUUGGGCGUAAAGGGCGCGUAGGCGGUCAUUUAAGUCUGGAGUGGAAGUCCACUUUUCAAGGGUGGAAUUGCUUUGGAUACUGGGUGGCUUGAGUGCAGGAGAGGUUAUCGGAAUUCCCGGUGUAGCGGUGAAAUGCGUAGAGAUCGGGAGGAACACCAGUGGCGAAGGCGGGUAACUGGACUGCAACUGACGCUGAGGCGCGAAAGUGUGGGGAGCAAACAGGAUUAGAUACCCUGGUAGUCCACACUGUAAACGAUGAGUGCUAGGUGUAGGAGGUAUCGACCCCUUCUGUGCCGGAGUAAACGCAAUAAGCACUCCGCCUGGGGAGUACGGUCGCAAGAUUAAAACUCAAAUGAAUUGACGGGG